CCUACGGGUGGCAGCAGUGAGGAAUAUUGGUCAAUGGCCGCAAGGCUGAACCAGCCAAGUCGCGUGAAGGAUGACGGCCCUAUGAGUUGUAAACCUCUUUUGUCCGGGGGCAAAGGGAGCCACGUGUAGCUGUUUGCGAGUACCUUAAGAAAAAGCAUCGGCUAACUCCGUGCCAGCAGCCGCGGUAAUACGGAGGAUUCUUGCGUUAUCCGGAUUUAUUGGGUUUAAAGGGUGCGAAGGCGGAAUGUCAAGUCAGAGGUAAAAUUUCGGGGCUAAACCCGGACGUGCCGUUGAAACUGGUGUUCUUGAGUGAGCGAGAAGUAGGCGGAAUGUGUGGUGUAGCGGUGAAAUGCAUAGAUAUCACGCAGAACUCCGAUUGCGAAGGCAGCAUACCGGCGCUCAACUGACGCUGAUGCACGAAAGCGUGGGUAUCGAACAGGAUUAGAUACCCGUGUAGUC
rnacentral:rRNA from 1 species